CGAAAACGAAUUCUCUCUUGAGUGGAUCCUGAGUACGACGGAGCACGUGAAAUUCCGUCGGAAUCUGGGAGGACCAUCUCCUAAGGCUAAAUACUCUCUAGUGACCGAUAGUGAACCAGUACCGUGAGGGAAAGGUGAAAAGUACCCCGGAAGGGGAGUGAAAGAGAACUUGAAACCGUGUGCUUACAAGUAGUCAGAGCCCGUUAAUGGGUGAUGGCGUGCCUUUUGUAGAAUGAACCGGCGAGUUACGAUCUGAUGCAAGGUUAAGCAGAAAAUGUGGAGCCGUAGCGAAAGCGAGUCUGAAUAGGGCGAAUGAGUAUUUGGUCGUAGACCCGAAACCAGGUGAUCUACCCUUGGUCAGGUUGAAGUUCAGGUAACACUGAAUGGAGGACCGAACCGACUUACGUUGAAAAGUGAGCGGAUGAACUGAGGGUAGCGGAGAAAUUCCAAUCGAACUUGGAGAUAGCUGGUUCUCUCCGAAAUAGCUUUAGGGCUAGCCUCAAGUGAUGAUUAUUGGAGGUAGAGCACUGUUUGGACGAGGGGCCCCUCUCGGGUUACCGAAUUCAGACAAACUCCGAAUGCCAAAUAAUUUAACUUGGGAGUCAGAAUGUGGGUGAUAAGGUCCAUAUUCGAAAGGGAAACAGCCCAGACCACCAGCUAAGGUCCCAAAAUAUAUGUUAAGUGGAAAAGGAUGUGGCGUUGCCCAGACAACUAGGAUGUUGGCUUAGAAGCAGCCAUCAUUUAAAGAGUGCGUAAUAGCUCACUAGUCGAGUGACACUGCGCCGAAAAUGUACCGGGGCUAAACAUAUUACCGAAGCUGUGGAUUGUCCUUUGGACAAUGGUAGGAGAGCGUUCUAAGGGCGUUGAAGCAUGAUCGCAAGGACAUGUGGAGCGCUUAGAAGUGAGAAUGCCGGUGUGAGUAGCGAAAGACGGGUGAGAAUCCCGUCCACCGAUUGACUAAGGUUUCCAGAGGAAGGCUCGUCCGCUCUGGGUUAGUCGGGUCCUAAGCUGAGGCCGACAGGCGUAGGCGAUGGAUAACAGGUUGAUAUUCCUGUACCACCAUUAUUCGUUUUAAGCGAUGGGGGGACGCAGUAGGAUAGGCGAAGCGUGCUGUUGGAGUGCACGUCCAAGCAGUGAGAUUGAGUGUUAGGCAAAUCCGGCACUCUUAAGAUUGAGCUGUGAUGGGGAGAGGAACUUGUUCCUCGAGUCGUUGAUUUCACACUGCCGAGAAAAGCCUCUAGCUAGAAUAACGGUGCCCGUACCGCAAACCGACACAGGUAGUCAAGAUGAGAAUUCUAAGGUGAGCGAGCGAACUCUCGUUAAGGAACUCGGCAAAAUGACCCCGUAACUUCGGGAGAAGGGGUGCUCUUUGAGGUUCACGCUUCGAAGAGCCGCAGUGAAUAGGCCCAAGCGACUGUUUAUCAAAAACACAGGUCUCUGCUAAACCGUAAGGUGACGUAUAGGGGCUGACGCCUGCCCGGUGCUGGAAGGUUAAGAGGAGUGGUUAGCGCAAGCGAAGCUACGAAUCGAAGCCCCAGUAAACGGCGGCCGUAACUAUAACGGUCCUAAGGUAGCGAAAUUCCUUGUCGGGUA
rnacentral:rRNA from 1 species